rnacentral:misc_RNA from 1 species
GUAUUUUAUUAAGGCCGUAUCGGCACAAGCACGUUCAAUAUUUCUUAAUAGUGUAUGUGAAGAGGGAAUCCAAGAAAGAUCACAAGAAACAGCAAUCUACUUGGAAACCCUCAGAAUAAUGAAUAUUGGAGGCGAGCACAUGCAGCUAAAGAAUAGCAUGCCAGCAUCAAACCCCACUACAAUUCGUUAAUGAUCCUUCCGCAGGUUCACCUACGGAAA